CGGUGUUCAACUGGCGUGUCCGCGGGACGUCCUGCCGGUGGGCUUAGCCCGCAAGGGCGGCCCAACUUCAAAUCCCAUCGUGGUGCUCUUCACUGAGUGUCGAGGUGGGCCGGCACGUUUACUUUGAACAAAUUAGAGUGCUUAAAGCAGGCUAAAACUUCGCCUGAAUACUGUGUGCAUGGAAUAAUGGAAUAGGACCUCGGUUCUAUUUUGUUGGUUUUCGGAACCCCGAGGUAAUGAUUAAUAGGAACGGAUGGGGGCAUUCGUAUUGCGACGUUAGAGGUGAAAUUCUUGGAUCGUCGCAAGACGGACAGAAGCGAAAGCAUUUGCCAAAAACGCUUUCAUUGAUCAAGAACGAAAGUUAGAGGUUCGAAGGCGAUCAGAUACCGCCCUAGUUCUAACCAUAAACGAUGCCAGCUAGCGAUCCGUCGACGUUCCUCCGAUGACUCGACGGGCAGCUUCCGGGAAACCAAAGCUUUUGGGUUCCGGGGGAAGUAUGGUUGCAAAGCUGAAACUUAAAGGAAUUGACGGAAGGGCACCACCAGGAGUGGAGCCUGCGGCUUAAUUUGACUCAACACGGGAAACCUCACCAGGCCCGGACACCGGAAGGAUUGACAGAUUGAGAGCUCUUUCUUGAUUCGGUGGGUGGUGGUGCAUGGCCGUUCUUAGUUGGUGGAGCGAUUUGUCUGGUUAAUUCCGAUAACGAACGAGACUCUAGCCUGCUAACUAGGCGUAUUUUCGACAUCUCAAAGGUCCGUCGUCCCGGCCCUCGGGUCGUGGGCGUGCGCGAUUUUUACUGUCGGCGUACUAUCAAUUCUUCUUAGAGGGACAGGUGGCUUCUAGCCGCACGAGAUUGAGCAAUAACAGGUCUGUGAUG
rnacentral:rRNA from 1 species